rnacentral:rRNA from 1 species
GACGAACGCUGGCGGCGUGCUUAACACAUGCAAGUCGAACGGAAAGGCCCUGCUUGCAGGGUACUCGAGUGGCGAACGGGUGAGUAACACGUGGGUUAUCUGCCCUGCACUUCGGGAUAAGCCUGGGAAACUGGGUCUAAUACCGGAUAGGAGCCAUUUUUAGUGUGAUGGUUGGAAAGUUUUUUCGGUGUAGGAUGAGCUCGCGGCCUAUCAGCUUGUUGGUGGGGUAAUGGCCUACCAAGGCGGCGACGGGUAGCCGGCCUGAGAGGGUGGACAGCCACAUUGGGACUGAGAUACGGCCCAGACUCCUACGGGAGGCAGCAGUGGGGAAUAUUGCACAAUGGGCGCAAGCCUGAUGCAGCGACGCCGCGUGGGGGAUGACGGCCUUCGGGUUGUAAACUCCUUUCGCUAGGGACGAAGCUUUUUGUGACGGUACCUAGAUAAGAAGCACCGGCUAACUACGUG